rnacentral:rRNA from 1 species
GAUCAUGGCUCAGGAUGAACGCUAGCUACAGGCUUAACACAUGCAAGUCGAGGGGCAGCAUUUUAGUUUGCUUGCAAACUAAAGAUGGCGACCGGCGCACGGGUGAGUAACACGUAUCCAACCUGCCGAUAACUCAGGGAUAGCCUUUCGAAAGAAAGAUUAAUACCUGAUGGCAUAGGAUUAUCGCAUGAUAAUCCUAUUAAAGAAUUUCGGUUAUCGAUGGGGAUGCGUU